AUACGUAGGGGGCGAGCGUUAUCCGGAAUUAUUGGGCGUAAAGAGUGCGUAGGUGGUUCUUUAAGCGAGAGGUUUAAGGCUAUGGCUUAACCAUAGUUCGCCUCCCGAACUGAAGGACUUGAGUGCAGGAGAGGAAAGCGGAAUUCCUAGUGUAGCGGUGAAAUGCGUAGAUAUUAGGAGGAACACCAGUGGCGAAGGCGGCUCUCUGGACUGAAACUGACACUGAGGCACGAAAGCGUGGGGAGCAAACAGGAUUAGAUACCCUGGUAGUCCACGCCGUAAACGAUGAGCACUAGGUGUCGGGAGGAUGAACUCUCGGUGCCGCAGUUAACGCAAUAAGUGCUCCGCCUGGGGAGUACGCACGCAAGUGUAAAACUCAAAUGAAUUGACGGGG
rnacentral:rRNA from 1 species